rnacentral:rRNA from 1 species
AGUGAACGCUGGCGGUAGGCCUAACACAUGCAAGUCGAACGGCAGCACAGUAAGAGCUUGCUCUUACGGGUGGCGAGUGGCGGACGGGUGAGGAAUACAUCGGAAUCUACUUUUUCGUGGGGGAUAACGUAGGGAAACUUACGCUAAUACCGCAUACGACCUACGGGUGAAAGCAGGGGAUCUUCGGACCUUGCGCGAUUGAAUGAGCCGAUGUCGGAUUAGCUAGUUGGCGGGGUAAAGGCCCACCAAGGCGACGAUCCGUAGCUGGUCUGAGAGGAUGAUCACCCACACUGGAACUGGGACACGGUCCGGCCUCCUACGGGGGGCAGCAGUGGGGAUUAUUGGCCAUUGGGCGCAAGCCUGAUCCAGCCAUACCGCGUGGGUGAAGCAGGCCUUCGGGUUGUAAAGCCCUUUUGCUGGGAAAGAAAAGCAGCAGGUUAAUACCCCGCUGUUCUGACGGUACCCAAAGAAUAAGCACCGGCUAACUUCGUG